GAUGAACGCUGGCGGCGUGCCUAAUACAUGCAAGUCGAGCUAACAUACGAGGAUCUUGCUCCUCUUACGUUAGCGGCGGACGGGUGAGUAACACGUGGAUUACCUCCCUAUAAGACUGGGAUAACUUCGGGAAACCGUAGCUAAUACCGUAUUAUUUAUUGAACCUCAUGGUUUAAUAGUUAAAGACGGUUUUGCUGUCACUUAUAGCUGGAUCCUCGCCGCAUUAGCUAGUUGGUAAGGUAACGGCUUACCAAGGCUACGAUGCGUAGCCGACCUGAGAGGGUGAGUGGCCACACUGGAACUGAGACACGGCACAAAGUCAUACGGGAGGCAGCAGUAGGGAAUCUUGCGGCAUGGGCGAAAGACUGACGGCGAAGCGCCGCGAGAGUGAUGAAGGUAUUCGGAUCGUACAACUCUGUUAUUAGGAAAGAACAAAUGUGUAAGUAACUAUGAACGAAUUGACGGUACCAACACAGAAAGCGACGGCUAACUACGUG
rnacentral:rRNA from 1 species